AGAGUUUGAUCCUGGCUCAGAACGAACGCUGGCGGCACGCCUAACACAUGCAAGUCGAACGAAGCCUUCGGGCUUAGUGGCGGACGGGUGAGUAACGCGUGGGAACGUACCCUUGGGUAAGGAACAACAGUUGGAAACGACUGCUAAUACCUUAUGAUGUCUUCGGACCAAAGAUUUAUCGCCCAGGGAUCGGCCCGCGUUGGAUUAGGUAGUUGGUGGGGUAAUGGCCUACCAAGCCUACGAUCCAUAGCUGGUUUGAGAGGAUGAUCAGCCACACUGGGACUGAGGCACGGCCCAGACUCCUACGGGAGGCAGCAGUGGGGAAUCUUGGACAAUGGGGGCAACCCUGAUCCAGCCAUGCCGCGUGAACGAUGAAGGCCUUAGGGUUGUAAAGUUCUUUCAGCUGGGAAGAUAAUGACGGUACCAGCAGAAGAAGCCCCGGCUAACUCCGUGCCAGCAGCCCGGUAAU
rnacentral:rRNA from 1 species